AUUUAGUCUGUGAUGAGACUAUCCCUCAUUGUUGGCUGUGACAGCGACAUUGUUCACGUGAUCACGUCCACGUCACGUCCACACAAUGACGACUACCACACUGUCCACAGUCAUGCUGCUGAUGCUGUUGGUGGCACUGGCCCUGGGGAGUGUGCUCGCUGGUCCAGAUUUAUCGAAAUACCCUUGGCAUUUUAACUGUGAAGAACCCAGAUGGUGUUAUGCUGAUUUGGGUCCUCGCUGCAUCAAGGGCCGGGACACUCCCGUGUAUGGACAUUGUGAGUUACAGGACGCCCUAUGCAAUGGCGAGGAGUGGGACCUCACAAACAGCUGCUUGAGCAACAUUGGGUCACAUGUGAAUUACCCGCGGAUCAGCUCACCUGAUUCCGAGACCUCCGACCCUGGUGUGUGAAGUCAUUGUCCAGGAGGCCACUUGUGACGAAAACGCCGUUAUUGAUACCAGUGAUAGCUGCUUGCAGUGAGACAAGUCUCCUUCUUCGUGAAACGUUUGCACUUCAUUGUUUAUUAUCCUUACUAACAUGUGACCUUUGUACUCUUUGGACUAAUAAAGUGCAGUAAAAAAUAUCUAAGCU